rnacentral:ncRNA from 1 species
CUAUGAUUUUAGACAAUCAUGGCGGAAGGAG